rnacentral:rRNA from 1 species
CAGUAGCCGCGGGAAUACAGAGGGUGCGAGCGUUAAUCGGAUUUACUGGGCGUAAAGCGUGCGUAGGCGGCUUCUUAAGUCGGAUGUGAAAUCCCUGAGCUUAACUUAGGAAUUGCAUUCGAUACUGGGAAGCUAGAGUAUGGGAGAGGAUGGUAUAAUUCCAGGUGUAGCGGUGAAAUGCGUAGAGAUCUGGAGGAAUACCGAUGGCGAAGGCAGCCAUCUGGCCUAAUACUGACGCUGAGGUACGAAAGCAUGGGGAGCAAACAGGAUUAGAUACCCCAGUAGUCCCUGUCUCUUAUAC